GACGAACGCUGGCGGCGUGCUUAACACAUGCAAGUCGAACGGAAAGGCCCCUUCGGGGGUCCUCGAGUGGCGAACGGGUGAGUAACACGUGAGUAACCUGCCCUUGACUUCGGGAUAACUUCAGGAAACUGGGGCUAAUACCGGAUAGGAAUCCUUGCUGCAUGGUGGGGGUUGGAAAGCUUCGGCGGUUUUGGAUGGACUCGCGGCUUAUCAGCUUGUUGGUGGGGUAGUGGCUUACCAAGGCUUUGACGGGUAGCCGGCCUGAGAGGGCGACCGGCCACAUUGGGACUGAGAUACGGCCCAGACUCCUACGGGAGGCAGCAGUGGGGAAUAUUGCACAAUGGGCGGAAGCCUGAUGCAGCAACGCCGCGUGCGGGAUGACGGCCUUCGGGUUGUAAACCGCUUUCAGCAGGGGCGAAGCUUGUGGUGACGGUACCUGCAGAAGAAGCACCGGCUAACUACGU
rnacentral:rRNA from 1 species